AAAGUACAUUUUGUGAGAGGGCAUCUUUCAUCAAGCUUUAACAUUUCCUGUGCAGGCUCCUGUAUCAGGCUCCAAAAGCCAGCGAAAGAUGGACAACUAAUAUUUCUUACUGCCGGUGACAAGUCUCUCUAUGAAACAGUUGAGGACUCGAUCAAAUUUACCAGUUGAGGUAGUGUCACAGGGUGCCAUCAGUGCUCCAAUGUACUCACUUAAAGGUCCAUCAAUGGCUAAAUCACUCUACCCUACUGCAUUUCCUUUGAAGCAUCAGCAGAAGGAUCUGAGGAUUGCCUUAGGAUUCGCAGAAUCUGUUUCUUAGCCAACUCUGAUUGCAGCAGCUGCGAAUGAACCAUACAAGAUGGCAAAAUCUCAUGGCCUUAGUGAUCGGGAUUUUUCAGCAGUUAUUGAAGCAUUGAAAGCUAAAAAGUGACGGCAAAGCAACGAACAAAGAAGAUUAACGGUCCAAUUUUUUUCAGAAUAAAAGGUAAGUUUUUCAAGAGCCAUUCAUUGCGCCUCAAUUUCAAAAUGGGGCUACUUGAAGCCCCGUGAAAAUAAUUGUGUUUUUAUGUGAAAGACAGCUUGGUCUUUUUAAAGCAGGCAUAUCACAUCCUUUCUGGUGA